rnacentral:rRNA from 1 species
CAGCACCUCAAGUGGUCAGGAUGAUUAUUGGGCCUAAAGCAUCCGUAGCCGGCUCUGUAAGUUUUCGGUUAAAUCUGUAUGCUCAACAUACAGGCUGCCGGGAAUACUGCAGAGCUAGGGAGUGGGAGAGGUAGACGGUACUCGGUAGGAAGGGGUAAAAUCCUUUGACCUAUUGAUGACCACCUGUGGCGAAGGCGGUCUACCAGAACACGUCCGACGGUGAGGGAUGAAAGCUGGGGGAGCAAACCGGAUUAGAUACCCCAGUAGUCC